AACCCCUAUCCUCAGUUGCCAUCAUUAAUUGGGGCACUCUGUGGAGACUGCCCGGUGGUCAAACCGGAGGAAGGUGGGGAUGACGUCAAGUCCUCAUGGCCCUUAUGACCAGGGCUACACACGUGCUACAAUGGCCGGUACAAAGAGUUGCGAUACAGCGAUGUGGAGCUAAUCUCAUAAAGCCGGUCUCAGUUCGGAUUGGAGUCUGCAACUCGACUCCAUGAAGUUGGAAUCGCUAGUAAUCGCGGAUCAGCACGCCGCGGUGAAUACGUUCCCGGGCCUU
rnacentral:rRNA from 1 species